rnacentral:rRNA from 1 species
UAGGGAAUCUUCGGCAAUGGACGAAAGUCUGACCGAGCAACGCCGCGUGAGUGAAGAAGGUUUUCGGAUCGUAAAACUCUGUUGGUAGAGAAGAACGUUGGUGAGAGUGGAAAGCUCAUCAAGUGACGGUAACUACCCAGAAGGGGACGGCUAACUACGUGCCAG